GCUUAGCCAUAAACCUAGAUAGUCCAACAACCAACUAUCCGCCAGAGGAUUACGAGCGAAAAGCUUAAAACUCAAAAGACUUGACGGUGUCCCAUAUCACCCUAGAGGAGCCUGUCCUACAAUCGAUACCCCGCGUUUAACCCAACCUACUCUUGCAAUACAACAGCCUAUAUACCGCCGUCUCCAGCCUACCUAAUGAUAGUACCGUAGUAGGCAAAAUAGUGGCCACACUAACACGUCAGGUCAAGGUGUAGCUAACGAGCAGGCAGCGAUGGGCUACAUUUUCUAAAAUAGAUCACCACUGACAGCAACAUGAAAACACAGCUUUAAAGGAGGAUUUAGAAGUAAGCUGGAUCACACCCACCAACUGAAACACGCUCUGGGACGCGU
rnacentral:rRNA from 1 species